rnacentral:rRNA from 1 species
AAGUCGUAACAAGGUUUCCGUAGGUGCCCCCCCGCCGCGUCUUUCCGCCGGAGCUCCCCACGCUAACGUUAAACAGGUAGGUGAACCUGCGGAAGGAUCAUUAAAGAGAGAAGGGUCCCCUCGGGGGCCCGCACCUCCCAACCCCAUGCCAACAUACCUUCGUUGCUUCGGCGGGCCGGGGCCGUCGAGGUCCCCUCGCGCGCCCGUCGGAAGCCCAACCAAAACCCAUUUUAAAACCCUUGCAGUCUGAAUGAAGAAAAUCGAACAGCCAAAAACUUUCAACAACGGAUCUCUUGGUUCCGGCAUCGAUGAAGAACGCAGCGAAAUGCGAUAAGUAAUGUGAAUUGCAGAAUUCAGUGAAUCAUCGAAUCUUUGAACGCACAUUGCGCCCUCUGGUAUUCCGGGGGGCAUGCCUGUUCGAGCGUCAUUACACCCAUCGAGCCCCGCUCGGUAUUGGGGGCCGCCCCGCGCGGGCGCCCCCGGAAGUUAGCGGCGGAGCGGCCGGAGCGAGAGCGCAGUGACACUUGACGUUUCGCUCCUCGUCCCCGGCGGCACCGGCCGGGCAACCACCCCGAAUCUAACGAUCGACCUCGGAUCAGGUAGGGAUACCCGCUGAACUUAA